AACGCAUCUUGCACUCCUUGGUAUUCCGAGGAGUAUGUCUGUUUGAGUGUCAUGAAUUCUUCAACCCUCCCUUUUCUUAGUGAAUUGAGAGGUGUUUGGAUUCUGAGUGUUGCUCCUAACCCGAGCUCAUUCGUAAUGCAUUAGCAUCCAUAUUCGAAUUUCGGAUUGACUUGGCGUAAUAGACUAUUCGCUGAGGAAUCUAACUUCGGUUAGAGCCGGAUUUGAACUAGGAAGCUUAUAAUCUAGCUUAGUCUACUUUAAGUUUAGAUCUCAAAUCAGAUAGGAUUACCCGCUGAACUUAA
rnacentral:misc_RNA from 1 species